GUGGGGAAUAUUGGGCAAUGGGCGAAAGCCUGACCCAGCAACGCCGCGUGAGGGAAGAAGGUUUUCGGAUCGUAAACCUCUGUCCUUAGUGAAGAGAAAGAGACGGUAGCUAAGGAGGAAGCCCCGGCUAACUACGUGCCAGCAGCCGCGGUAAUACGUAGGGGGCGAGCGUUGUCCGGAAUGAUUGGGCGUAAAGGGCGCGUAGGCGGCCUGUUAAGUCCGGAGUGAAAUUCCUGCUUUCAAGGUAGGAAGUGCUUUGGAAACUGGCGGGCUGGAGUGCAGGAGAGGUUAGCGGAAUUCCCGGUGUAGCGGUGAAAUGCGUAGAGAUCGGGAGGAACACCAGUGGCGAAGGCGGCUAACUGGACUGUAACUGACGCUGAGGCGCGAAAGUGUGGGGAGCAAACAGGAUUAGAAACCCGAGUAGUCC
rnacentral:rRNA from 1 species